UUCUGAGGACGACCUUGAAAACCAUUUAACUAGCGGGGACGACCCCA
rnacentral:ncRNA from 1 species